rnacentral:rRNA from 1 species
UACGGGGGGAGCAAGCGUUGUUCGGAUUUACUGGGCGUAAAGGGCGCGUAGGCGGCCACCGCAAGUCAGUUGUGAAAUCUCCGGGCUUAACUCGGAAAGGUCAACUGAUACUGUGCGACUAGAGUGCAGAAGGGGCAACUGGAAUUCUCGGUGUAGCGGUGAAAUGCGUAGAUAUCGAGAGGAACACCUGCGGCGAAGGCGGGUUGCUGGGCUGACACUGACGCUGAGGCGCGAAAGCCAGGGGAGCGAACGGG